AUUCUUUUAGUAUUAAUAAGUACAGUUGACUUCCAAUCAACUAGUCCUGGUAUAACCCAGGAAAGAAUA
rnacentral:tRNA from 1 species